rnacentral:rRNA from 1 species
GGUACCGUCGGGCCUAACGUGUAUUAUACGUUAGGAGGUUCUUCCCCUCUGACAGAGCUUUACGACCCAAGAGCCUUCAUCACUCACGCGGUAUUGCUGCGUCAGGCUUUCGCCCAUUGCGCAAAAUUCCCCA